UACGGAGGGAGCUAGCGUUGUUCGGAAUUACUGGGCGUAAAGCGCGCGCAGGCGGUUCUUCAAGUCAGAGGUGAAAGCCCAGAGCUCAACUCUGGAAUGGCCUUUGAGACUAGAGAACUAGGGUACGGGAGAGGUGAGUGGAAUUCCGAGUGUAGAGGUGAAAUUCGUAGAUAUUCGGAAGAACACCGGUGGCGAAGGCGGCUCACUGGCCCGUUACCGACGCUCAGGCGCGACAGCGUGGGGAGCAAACAGG
rnacentral:rRNA from 1 species